rnacentral:rRNA from 4 species
UGGGGAAUAUUGCACAAUGGGCGCAAGCCUGAUGCAGCCAUGCCGCGUGUAUGAAGAAGGCCUUCGGGUUGUAAAGUACUUUCAGUCGGGAGGAAGGUGGUAAGGUUAAUAACCUUAUCAAUUGACGUUACCGACAGAAGAAGCACCGGCUAACUCCGUGCCAGCAGCCGCGGUAAUACGGAGGGUGCAAGCGUUAAUCGGAAUUACUGGGCGUAAAGCGCACGCAGGCGGUUGAUUGAGUCAGAUGUGAAAUCCCCGGGCUUAACCCGGGAAUUGCAUCUGAUACUGGUCAGCUAGAGUCUUGUAGAGGGGGGUAGAAUUCCAUGUGUAGCGGUGAAAUGCGUAGAGAUGUGGAGGAAUACCGGUGGCGAAGGCGGCCCCCUGGACAAAGACUGACGCUCAGGUGCGAAAGCGUGGGGAGCAAACAGG